UAGACAGCCCCUAAGGCGAGGCCGAAAGGCGUAGUCGAUGGGAAACGGGUUAAUAUUCCCGUACUUGGUGUUACUGCGAAGGGGGGACGGAGAAGGCUAUGUUGGCCGGGCGACGGUUGUCCCGGUUUAAGCGUGUAGGCUGGUUUUCCAGGCAAAUCCGGAAAAUCAAGGCUGAGGCGUGAUGACGAGGCACUACGGUGCUGAAGCAACAAAUGCCCUGCUUCCAGGAAAAGCCUCUAAGCAUCAGGUAACAUCAAAUCGUACCCCAAACCGACACAGGUGGUCAGGUAGAGAAUACCAAGGCGCUUGAGAGAACUCGGGUGAAGGAACUAGGCAAAAUGGUGCCGUAACUUCGGGAGAAGGCACGCUGACACGUAGGUGAAGUGAUUUACUCAUGGAGCUGAAGUCAGUCGAAGAUACCAGCUGGCUGCAACUGUUUAUUAAAAACACAGCACUGUGCAAACACGAAAGUGGACGUAUACGGUGUGACGCCUGCCCGGUGCCGGAAGGUUAAUUGAUGGGGUCAGCGCAAGCGAAGCUCCUGAUCGAAGCCCCGGUAAACGGCGGCCGUAACUAUAACGGUCCUAAGGUAGCGAAAUUCCUUGUCGGGUAAGUUCCGACCUGCACGAAUGGCGUAAUGAUGGCCAGGCUGUCUCCACCCGAGACUCAGUGAAAUUGAACUCGCUGUGAAGAUGCAGUGUACCCGCGGCAAGACGGAAAGACCCCGUGAACCUUUACUAUAGCUUGACACUGAACAUUGAGCCUUGAUGUGUAGGAUAGGUGGGAGGCUUUGAAGUGUGGACGCCAGUCUGCAUGGAGCCGACCUUGAAAUACCACCCUUUAAUGUUUGAUGUUCUAACGUGGACCCGUUACCCGGGUUGCGGACAGUGUCUGGUGGGUAGUUUGACUGGGGCGGUCUCCUCCUAAAGAGUAACGGAGGAGCACGAAGGUUGGCUAAUCCUGGUCGGACAUCAGGAGGUUAGUGCAAUGGCAUAAGCCAGCUUGACUGCGAGCGUGACGGCGCGAGCAGGUGCGAAAGCAGGUCAUAGUGAUCCGGUGGUUCUGAAUGGAAGGGCCAUCGCUCAACGGAUAAAAGGUACUCCGGGGAUAACAGGCUGAUACCGCCCAAGAGUUCAUAUCGACGGCGGUGUUUGGCACCUCGAUGUCGGCUCAUCACAUCCUGGGGCUGAAGUAGGUCCCAAGGGUAUGGCUGUUCGCCAUUUAAAGUGGUACGCGAGCUGGGUUUAGAACGUCGUGAGACAGUUCGGUCCCUAUCUGCCGUGGGCGCUGGAGAACUGAGGGGGGCUGCUCCUAGUACGAGAGGACCGGAGUGGACGCAUCACUGGUGUUCGGGUUGUCAUGCCAAUGGCACUGCCCGGUAGCUAAAUGCGGAAGAGAUAAGUGCUGAAAGCAUCUAAGCACGAAACUUGCCCCGAGAUGAGUUCUCCCUGAGACUUAGAGUCUCCUGAAGGAACGUUGAAGACGACGACGUUGAUAGGCCGGGUGUGUAAGCG
rnacentral:rRNA from 1 species